GCGAGCGAACGGGGAGCAGCCCGGAGUCUGAAUCAGCUUGUGUGUUAGUGGAAGCGUCUGGAAAGUCGCACGGUACAGGGUGACAGUCCCGUACACGAAAGCACACAGGCUGUGAACUCGAAGAGUAGGGCGGGACACGUGGUAUCCUGUCUGAAUAUGGGGGGACCAUCCUCCAAGGCUAAAUACUCCUGACUGACCGAUAGUGAACCAGUACCGUGAGGGAAAGGCGA
rnacentral:rRNA from 1 species